rnacentral:rRNA from 1 species
UUUAUUGGAGAGUUUGAUCCUGGCUCAGGAUGAACGCUGGCGGCGUGCCUAAUACAUGCAAGUCGAGCGAAUGGAUUAAGAGCUUGCUCUUAUGAAGUUAGCGGCGGACGGGUGAGUAACACGUGGGUAACCUGCCCAUAAGACUGGGAUAACUCCGGGAAACCGGGGCUAAUACCGGAUAACAUUUUGAACCGCAUGGUUCGAAAUUGAAAGGCGGCUUCGGCUGUCACUUAUGGAUGGACCCGCGUCGCAUUAGCUAGUUGGUGAGGUAACGGCUCACCAAGGCAACGAUGCGUAGCCGACCUGAGAGGGUGAUCGGCCACACUGGGACUGAGACACGGCCCAGACUCCUACGGGAGGCAGCAGUAGGGAAUCUUCCGCAAUGGACGAAAGUCUGACGGAGCAACGCCGCGUGAGUGAUGAAGGCUUUCGGGUCGUAAAACUCUGUUG